GAGAGGGCAGUGGCGCACCAGUCUCCAUGAAGGUUGAGCUCCGAUGGCCAACAGCCAUUUCCACCUUGUGGUCUACAACUCUUCAUCCCGACUGCAUGGAGGUUGGUCUCUCUCUUCAGCUGGAUUUAGGCCACCAUCUGAGCCCCCGGGGUACGUUUUGUCUGACCCUGGCGCCAUUCGAACGGUUCUUCUACAGCAUCAGUUCUCUUUCCUGCCACCAUGUGAAGAAGGACAUGUUUGCUUCCCCUUCUGCCAUGAAUGGACAGGGUCCUGCUGUGUUGCCCAGGCUGGCCUUGAACUCCUGGCUUCAAACAGUCUUCCCACUUGGGCUCCCAAAGUGCUGGGAUUAAAGGGGCGAGUUACAGCACCAGGACCUGAAAUUAGAGACAGGGUUUCACCGUGUUAGCCAGGAUGGUCUCCAUCUUCUGACCUCGUGAUCCGCCUGCCUCGGCCUCCCAAAGUGCUGGGAUUACCGGCGUGAGCCAGCAUCACCCCCCAGCAAAAGUGACACCCCUGCUCCCCAUUCACCCUCCGCUAUCAGUAAAAGCUUCCUCAGACCUCACCAGAAGCUGGACAGAUAGAUGCUGGUGCCAAGCUUGUACAGACUGCAGAACCAUGGGCCAAAUAAACCUCUUUUCUUUAUAAA
rnacentral:lncRNA from 1 species